AGUGGCGCACGGGUGCGUAACGCGUGGGAAUCUGCCCCUUGGUUCGGAAUAACAGUUAGAAAUGACUGCUAAUACCGGAUGAUGACUUCGGUCCAAAGAUUUAUCGCCAAGGGAUGAGCCCGCGUAGGAUUAGGUAGUUGGUGGGGUAAAGGCCUACCAAGCCGACGAUCCUUAGCUGGUCUGAGAGGAUGAUCAGCCACACUGGGACUGAGACACGGCCCAGACUCCUACGGGAGGCAGCAGUGGGGAAUAUUGGACAAUGGGGGAAACCCUGAUCCAGCAAUGCCGCGUGAGUGAUGAAGGCCUUCGGGUCGUAAAGCUCUUUUACCAGGGAUGAUAAUGACAGUACCUGGAGAAUAAGCUCCGGCUAACUCCGUGCCAGCAGCCGCGGUAAUACGGAGGGAGCUAGCGUUGUUCGGAAUUACUGGGCGUAAAGCGCACGUAGGCGGUUACUCAAGUCAGAGGUGAAAGCCCGGGGCUCAACCCCGGAACAGCCUUUGAAACUAGGUGACUGGAAUCUUGGAGAGGCGAGUGGAAUUCCGAGUGUAGAGGUGAAAUUCGUAGAUAUUCGGAAG
rnacentral:rRNA from 1 species